rnacentral:rRNA from 1 species
UACGUAGGGUGCAAGCGUUGUCCGGAAUUAUUGGGCGUAAAGGGCUCGUAGGCGGUUUGUCACGUCGGGUGUGAAAACUCGGGGCUUAACCCCGAGCCUGCUUCCGAUACGGGCAGACUAGAGGUAUGCAGGGGAGAACGGAAUUCCUGGUGUAGCGGUGAAAUGCGCAGAUAUCAGGAGGAACACCGGUGGCGAAGGCGGGUCUCUGGGCCACUACUGACGCUGAGAAGCGAAAGCAUGGGGAGCGAACAGG